rnacentral:lncRNA from 1 species
AUGGGUUUGAGCAUCCAUACAGCUGUAUCUGACAAUGAUGGUGAUUUCAACAGAAACGGCGCAUUGUACAGACCUGUGUUGGAGGAUUGGCCACACAGGGUGAACCUGGAGCCCAGGGCCCUCCUGGACCUCCAGGACCUCCUGGACCCCCUGGUCUGCCUGGGAGCCCAGGAGUGGCUGGCGUCAAUGGUGCCCCGGGGAAGCCAGGCGAGCCAGGGAAACCAGGAAAAGACCCACGGGUGAGUGGAACGUGAUGCUCACACUCUGUCUGUUGUUGAUUUCCAGUGUCUGACC